rnacentral:ncRNA from 1 species
UAAAGCGAGUAUUUUGGCUCAAUUUUACCAGGAAAGUUAAUCCUAUAUGCAAACUUUAAUGAGAGUGCAAAAUUUCUUAUAGAUAAGGAUUUUUCUACUAAGUCGCAGUGGGGAACUUUGUUAAUUUAGGAGACUAAGAAACAGUUAAUUUAAAAUAUAAACAAAGUUUGUGCCAGCAGUUGCGGCUAUACUUACUAUGUAAUGGUAAAUUUUUAGUUUUAGAUAAAUUUUUAGAUGAACUAAGAGAAUAAUUUAUUAGGUGAAAUUUUAAGUUUUUUACGGGUUUUAGGGGUAUUUAUUAAAUCUGGGAAAAUUUUAUUGUAAACUAGGAUUAGAUACCCUAUUAUAUAAAUAGUGAAUUUUAAAACUAAAUUAGUAGUAGUUAUGUUCUUGAAAAUUAAGGAAAUUGGCGGUUUUUUAGUCUAUUCAGAGGAACCUGUCCUGUAAUUGAUGGUCCACGAUGAUUAAUACUUGCUUUUUAAAUUUAUAUAUCGCCGUAGGUGGAGUAUUUCUUAAGAAAUAAAAUAUUCAGGAUUUCUUUAGAAAUAAUAUCAGGUCAAGGUGUAGUUUAUAGGUAAGAAGAGAUGGGUUACAAUAAAUUUAUUUAUAUGGAAAUAAAUUUUAUAAUUUUAUUGAAAUUGGAUUUGAAAGUAAUUUUAAAAAUUUUUUUAAGGUGAUUUCUAGCUCUAAAAUAUGCACAUAUCGCCCGUCGCUUUCAUUUUAAAGUGAAAUAAGUCGUAACAAAGUAGAUGUACUGGAAAGUGUCUCUAGAAAGA